rnacentral:lncRNA from 1 species
UUGGAAAUUAGGGCUUUAACUAAAUUCAUGACCAACCAUGCUAGGAGAUCACAAGUUGACUCUAAACAAGCUAGGUGGGAGCUUGGAAAAGAACGGGUCAAACGGAUCAUGGAUGCGAAGAAUGUUUGCGCGAACGCGAGGUAAGUAAAGCUUACACCCAUUUGUAGUAAACGUAUGUAUUUUAUAGAUGAUAAAUGUGACAACCGAUUACAUUCAAAAUUGAAGUUCCAACACUAAGCGAUAUGAGUCGGAACGAAUAAAAAUGAUCAAAACCACGGUUAAUGGUAAAAUGGACAAAAGGGUAAUUUAGUCGUGAAUCGACUAAGAAUUUAUAAGAUUUCUUUAAGGUUACCUUAUAGCGAAAUUAGUAAUGGGAAAAAGGGUAAAUUAGUCACAUGUUGACUAUAUGUAAGUUGGGAUUAAAAAGGAUACCCAUGGUGUAAGCCAUAACGAGUUAGAUACGUAAGAAGAAUGAUCUUGUAGUUAAAACUUGAAAUGGGUCGAAUGUGUGAAUGGGAUAUUAAAAGCCAUGUUUUGACAUAAGUAUACAUGUUUGGUCAUAAAUACCAAAUGGGUCAAAUGGUGGUGAUGACACCAUUUGACAAUAUCGACUAAUGUUUGGUUGUUAAGUUAAAUGUUCACAGGAGUGAACGGGAAGUGGAUUAUUGCGUUGCUAUAAAGUAGCGGCUAGUAAAAGAAAGGUACAAAACGGGUCUAUAUGUUGACUCAAGCCAGGUGAAUGCCAAGAGUGCCCGGAUGAAGGUCAAGCUCGAUGAGGAACCGAACACAAUAAAAUCUAACACUCGGGAUUAAAGCUUCCGCACGGCGUUACGCCAUAUCUUUUAAACGACGAACUUAUUUAUAUUACGUUGAAAACUUUUAAGUUGUAAGAGUUUUAGAUUACUUGUAUUUUCUAAGAAUACUUAAUCGCAACCUCAUGUUUAUUUUCGUUAUUUAUACGAAAACCUUAAA